UGCCCCGUGGUCUAAUGGUACGAUGUCAGCAGUUCACGGCUGGAGAUCGCGAGUUCGAAUCCCGCCGGGGUGA